rnacentral:lncRNA from 1 species
AAGCCGGCGCAGGCCUUCGCAAGAUGGCGGCUGGAGGCAAGGGCAGAGGCCUUCAGAGCGUUUUCUUUUUCCCUUUCCUCCCUUCCUGCAAACAAUUGAGGAAACUGAGGCACUGGAAGAUGAAGGCUACAGAGGUAGAAAGUGAUGGAGGAGAUACAUCCAGAAGACUGCAUUACAAUUUCAAAUCAAAGCUGGACAAGUUUUUUUUUUUUUUUACACAGAUAUCACCAUGUUAGAAAAGUUGGACAAGUUUUGAAACCAUUCUGAACCUAUCAUUCCUGUCUUUCAAAUCCUUCCAAGGCAUCUUAUUAUUGAUUUGUUUCUAUAUUUUCCUCAUUAUUAAAGAGGUUGAGUAUCUUUUCUCUAGAGCUAGUUUGGGUUCUGAUUUUCUUCACUUUCGUGAUGGAGUCAUUUUAGAAUUGAAGGGCAUCAUAGCAACUGAGGCAGUGUUGACAUCAUCAAUGUUUUAGGAUUACAGGUAACCAUAUUUCCCAGUUUGCUUGGGACAAGGCCAGUUUGUACCUCUUGUCCUAGCAUUUUUUUUUUUUUUUUUUUUUUUGAGACAGAGUCUCGCUCUGUCACCCAGAUUGGAGUGCAGUGGCGUGAUCUCAGCUCACUGCAAUCUCCACCUCCUGGGUUCAAGUGAUUCUCCUGCCUCAGCCUCCUGAGUAGCUGGUAUUACAGGCACGCACCACCAUGCCUGGCAAAUUUUUGUAUUUUUAGUAGACACGGGGUUUCGCCAUGUUGGCCAGUCUGGUAUCAAACUCCUGACCUCAAGUGACGCCCUGGCUCGGCCUCCCACAGUGAUGGGAUUACAGGCGUGAGCCACCGUGCCUGGCCCUAGUAUAUUUUUUAAUAGCAUUGCAUUCAAUCUCAAAAGUGUGUGAGUUUUGAUGAAAAAUUAUAUGGUGGUCAUUUAUUAUCUGAAAUACACAUCAAAAUACCACUAUUGCCAUUUUGCUCUGGUAUCUUCAUCAGUGGGUGCAGGAUUGUCAUGAAGGCGGGGGGAGGUUGUUCUGCUUCCUUCUCUGUUGCAUCCCCAGAGCCCAGAACAGUGCCCAGCACCCAGUAAGUGCUUAAUGAAUAUGAAUGCAUCUGCACAUAAAUUCGUUUCUUGGGGCUUGGCACAUUGCCACUUGAACAAAUGGAUUCUAUUAACAAGGAGUAUGGAGCAAUGAUUUUGGGGUACACAACUCAUGGCGCCUGCCAAAACAUGCGCUUUAGAUUUUGAUAGAUAUCGUCAAGUUGUUCUCCGCAGGGGUUGAGCCAGUUUACACUCCCACCAGCAAUAUGUGAGAGCAUCUGUUUCUCUAACCUUCACCCACAUGGUGUUAUCAAAAUUUUUAUCUGUGCCAAUCUGGUAUUUUAAAUUUGCAUUUUCUUUAUUAUGGAAAGAUAGAGCAUACUUUCAUAUGUUUAAAAGCCAUUUGAAAUUUCUAAGAACUGUCUGUUCAUAUCCUCUGCCCAUUUUUUUUUUUUCAGUGAAUUACUGGUCUUUUUCUUAUCAAUCCAUAGGAAUACAAAUAGUUGUUCCAAGCUUUUCAUGCCUUUUGAGUUUGUUUCUGGUGUUGUUACUAAGCAGAAUUUAAAACAUGUAUUUAUAUUUAGCUUCUUUCGUUUUAUUGCAUCUAUAUUUUGCAUCAUGCUUAGAAAGGCUUUCCCAGAUUGUAAAAUAAUUCUCCCAUAUUUUCUUGUCUUACUUUCAAGUUUUCAUUUUUUUCACAUGUAAGUCUUGAUCUAUCUGAAAUUUAUUUUGGUGUAAGAUUUGAGAUAUGAAUAAAAUC